rnacentral:rRNA from 1 species
AGUCGAGCGGUAACAGAUCCAGCUUGCUGGAUGCUGACGAGCGGCGGACGGGUGAGUAAUGCAUAGGAAUCUGCCCGAUAGUGGGGGAUAACCUGGGGAAACCCAGGCUAAUACCGCAUACGUCCUACGGGAGAAAGGGGGCUCCGGCUCCCGCUAUGGGAUGAGCCUAUGUCGGAUUAGCUAGUUGGUGAGGUAACGGCUCACCAAGGCCACGAUCCGUAGCUGGUCUGAGAGGAUGAUCAGCCACAUCGGGACUGAGACACGGCCCGAACUCCUACGGGAGGCAGCAGUGGGGAAUAUUGGACAAUGGGGGCAACCCUGAUCCAGCCAUGCCGCGUGUGUGAAGAAGGCCCUCGGGUUGUAAAGCACUUUCAGCGAGGAAGAACGCCUAGCGGUUAAUACCCGCUAGGAAAGACAUCACUCGCAGAAGAAGCACCGGCUAACUCCGUGCCAGCAGCCGCGGUAAUACGGAGGGUGCAAGCGUUAAUCGGAAUUACUGGGCGUAAAGCGCGCGUAGGUGGCUUGAUAAGCCGGUUGUGAAAGCCCCGGGCUCAACCUGGGAACGGCAUCCGGAACUGUCAAGCUAGAGUGCAGGAGAGGAAGGUAGAAUUCCCGGUGUAGCGGUGAAAUGCGUAGAGAUCGGGAGGAAUACCAGUGGCGAAGGCGGCCUUCUGGACUGACACUGACACUGAGGUGCGAAAGCGUGGGUAGCAAACAGGAUUAGAUACCCUGGUAGUCCACGCCGU